GCCAGAGUGGCGGAAUUGGUAGACGCACCGGAUUCAAAAUCCGGCGAUAGCAAUAUCGUGCCGGUUCGAGUCCGGCCUCUGGUACCA
rnacentral:tRNA from 2 species